rnacentral:rRNA from 1 species
AGCAUAUCAAUAAGCGGAGGAAAAGAAACCAACAGGGAUUGCCCUAGUAACGGCGAGUGAAGCGGCAACAGCUCAAAUUUGAAAUCUGGCUUCGGCCCGAGUUGUAAUUUGUAGAGGAAGCUUUAGGCGCGGCACAUUCUGAGUCCCCUGGAACGGGGCGCCAUAGAGGGUGAGAGCCCCGUAUAGUUUGAUGCCUAGCCUGUGUAAAGCUCCUUCGACGAGUCGAGUAGUUUGGGAAUGCUGCUCAAAAUGGGAGGUAAAUUUCUUCUAAAGCUAAAUAUUGGCCAGAGACCGAUAGCGCACAAGUAGAGUGAUCGAAAGAUGAAAAGCACUUUGAAAAGAGGGUUAAAUAGCACGUGAAAUUGUUGAAAGGGAAGCGCUUGUGACCAGACUUGCGCCGGGCGGAUCAUCCGGUGUUCUCACCGGUGCACUCCGCCCGGCUCAGGCCAGCAUCGGUUCUCGCGGGGGGAUAAAGGUCCUGGGAACGUAGCUCCUCCGGGAGUGUUAUAGCCCAGGGCGUAAUGCCCUCGCGGGGACCGAGGUUCGCGCAUCUGCAAGGAUGCUGGCGUAAUGGUCAUCAGCGACCCGUC